rnacentral:rRNA from 1 species
CCCUUAGACGUUCUGUGCCGCACGCGCGCUACACUGACCAGUGCAACAAGCAUCCGUCCUUGGCCGACAGGCUCGGGCAAUCUUUGAACGCUGGUCGUGAUGGGGAUAGACUUUUGCAAUUUUUGGUCUUCAACGAGGAAUUCCUAGUAAACGCAAGUCAUCAACUUGCAUUGAUUACGUCCCUGCCCUUUGUACACACCGCCCGUCGCACCUACCGAUUGAAUGGUCCGGUGAAGCCUCCGGAUUGGCGCGCACCUCGGUGCCGCCGAGAAGUUGGCUAAACCUUACCAUUUAGAGGAAGGUGAAGUCGUAACA